rnacentral:rRNA from 1 species
UUGACCUCGAAUCAGGUAGGAAUACCCGCUGAACUUAAGCAUAUCAAUAAGCGGAGGAAAAGAAACCAACCGGGAUUACCUCAGUAACGGCGAGUGAAGCGGUAACAGCUCAAAUUUGAAAUCUGGCUCCCUCGGAGUCCGAGUUGUAAUUUGUAGAAGAUGCUUUGGGUUGUGGGUUCGGCCUAAGUUCCUUGGAACAGGACGUCAUAGAGGGUGAGAAUCCCGUACGUGGCCGAGGCCCGCGCCUAUGUAAAGCUCUUUCGACGAGUCGAGUUGUUUGGGAAUGCAGCUCAAAAUGGGUGGUAAAUUUCAUCUAAAGCUAAAUAUGGGCCAGAGACCGAUAGCGCACAAGUAGAGUGAUCGAAAGAUGAAAAGCACUUUGGAAAGAGAGUUAAACAGUACGUGAAAUUGUUGAAAGGGAAGCGCUUGCAACCAGACUUGGGCGCUGCCGAUCACCCUGAGUUCUCUCAGGUGCACUCGACAGCGCACAGGCCAGCAUCGGUUCGGGUGGCUGGAUAAAGGCCGUAGGAACGUAGCUCCUCUUGGGGAGUGUUAUAGCCUACGGUGCCAUGCAGCCCAGCCGGACCGAGGACCGCGCCUUCGGGCUAGGAUGCUGGCGUAAUGGUUGUAAGCGACCCGUCUUGAAACACGGACCAAGGAGUCUAACAUCUAUGCGAGUGUUUGGGCGUUAAACCCAUACGCGGAAUGAAAGUGAACGUAGGUGAGAACCCCUUUGGGGCGCAUCAUCGACCGAUCCUGAUGU